rnacentral:lncRNA from 1 species
UCAGGAUGGAUACUGAGGAAGUCUCUAAAAACAGUGUCUUGGAGGACAACAUCUUUGAUGGACAGAAGAAUUAGGCAAGGGAUUCAGGCUGGAAGGACCUUGGAAAGGCCUGCAAAAAAGGCACUAAAAGACAGAAAAAUGAAUUCUGCCUCAAGAAACUGCAAAGUAGAGGGACAACAACUUGCUCAAAAAUAACAUUCUCAGGCUGAAAUCUUGCAGAACAGCAACCUAUAAAACAAUUAGAUGCACUAAUUGCCACAGGUGGAUGGAAACACUUCACCAGCUUCUCCUGAUUUGCUGAAGUCAUGGACCGAGGCAGUGAUUUGUCAGACGUCCUCUUGGCUUAUAUGUAAAGGCUAAUGAUGAAAAUAUGUAAUCAGCUUAGGCAAGAUCCAGUCCUGGAUAACCAUUUAACAUUGAAACCUGACCUACUACAAAAUGGAAAUCAGUAUCAUCAUCAACGCUGGAUAAAUCUGUGCAAGAAUUGUUACACUGAAAGGUGGCCAUAUUUCCAUACUGGGGGCGAAUCACUUACCAUUCCCGGCAGCAAUGGGCUGCAGUUAUUGACCAAUUUGGAAAACGCAGAUGUACUAUCUAUUCUGUGUACCUAUUACAUCCACUAUGUUUUCAAAGAAACAGCCAGCCCCAAGCCCAAAAGCCAGAACACUUGUUUGUACAGACCUUCUCCUGCCUGAGGGUGUUUGAAUCUAUAUUAUAACUUAGGACAGCUUCAGUAAGUUUUUUGUGAAUGGAUGUUCUCAUUCUCCCGGGGGCAAUGUUUUACAUGUCAUAAAUCAGAAAGUGCUCCCUGGAGCCAGGCUGUGCUCUUGUGUUCUCCCCUUGUAGAGUUAUCGCUGUUAAACUCUCUCUCAUUUACUGUUACUUAAAUAUUUUGCAAAGUGUGGAAACAAGCACUCUAGAGAAAUUCUGUGUGCAGAAAGCAGUCCUCCAGCCCAACUUUGGUGAAUCUUCUAUGUCAUGUUUUGACCAAGAAAUGUCCAUUUAAAGAUAAGGGUACUGCCUCUGACUGAUGAAAUCACUGAGCCACAAUUUGCUGGAAGGUGGGAGGGCAUAUUGGUGAAGUUUCAUCAUCAAAUUGCUCUGCUUUUCAUAUGACUUCUUAAGCAUCUCUGGCCAUGCUCAACAGAUGUAGUCUUCAGCUUGAUGAACCUUGGUUUUUAUGAAUUAUUUCAUUUUGUGU